CAUUUACCUUGUCAUUUCGUUGCUGAGCAACACAGUUUAAGCUGCACAACCCAGUGAGGCCAACCAUUAAGAAUCAGUGUGGAGGGGGUGCGGAGGGGGACAUGCUAAUCAAGACUGUAAGAAUGAUGGACAUGGAGGAUUCCCACCCUCUGCUCCGCUUGUACUCUCAGAAGUGAGGGGUAGUUUGGACAUAUUGAACACCACAGACCAUGCAGAAGGCUUGACCCUUCCUGGCAUGGGCUAGCUGCAGCCAGCCACUCUGAAGUGAGCCUGUGGGCUGCAUCUAUCACUAUGGCAACUACUUCCCUAGCACUGGGGCUAAAAUGAGGCUCUGUGGGUGUCCAACGGUGAUUGGAGUCUCCUCUGACACAAUGAACAAACGGAUGAGUCACUGCAGGGAAGGGCACUGUCACUCCUACUGAAAGGAGACAGACUGGAGGCUGGCGAAGAACCCUCAGAGUAGAAGAGGGAGCCAGAAGCCUGGGUGGGCAAGAUACCAACCACAAGACCUCAGAACUAGCCACUAAAAUUAGCUGGUCCUAAAGUAGAAGCAGCAGCAGCGAACACGGUGCUCCAGAGGCAAACCUGACCCACUACGACUGGCUCAUUGCUGCGGAGGGAGGAACAUGGCUUCCCAGCCUGGCUGUUGCAGGUUGUGGGACAAAGUUCUAUUAGAAAUGAUCUGACCAGUGCCUGUUUGUUAUACGAGCAGCUUCUCAGGGACUACCCAGAGGCUAGAGAAUCUAGAGAGGGGUGCCCACAGUCCACUUAACAAAGAAGUAGGGCAUGCAGCAGAGUCUGGGCAAACCUGAGGGCUGUCCUAUAUGGAGACAGACUCACAGGAGGCAAGUGCUGGAAGAGUCAACGCUAAACCUUUUUGGGAGAAGGAAGGCUCUUCUGAUGAUAAAGGCGAGGUUGCCAAUCCUUUGACAAGAUAGCAUGGAUGUUUACUAAAUGGAGGCAGUUGGGCAGGACUUACAGGGCCUUGGUGCCCAUGGCCGAGCCUCAAGAUCUUUCCUUUCCUGCCCCCAUGUUACUGACAGUGGUAUGACUCUGCAAGAGAACGAACAGUGACAGAUAUUGUGGUUGUCGUGAGAUGUUCCCAUAUGUCUCAGGCAUUUGAAUACUUAAUCUCCAGUUGGUGGCUAGUGGGGAGGAUUAGGAAGUGUAGCUUUGCUAGAUGAAGUAUGCCACCAAGGGCAGGUUUUGAGGUUUCGAAAAACUGCUGCCAUUUUGAGUUAGCUCUCGCUGUCCCUUGUUUGUAGAUUGGAACGAGAGCUCUCAGCUGCUGCUCCAGUAUCAUGGCUGCCUGCUUGCUGCCUUGCUCCCCACUGUGAUAGCAAUGUGUUCCUAUCCCUCUGGAACCCAAGUAAAUACUUUCUUCUAUAAUUUUCCUUGACCAUAGUGUCUUAGCAUAGAAACCCUAACUAAUGCAGAUAAUUAAGAGAUUUUUGAGUUUCUGAACUACAGGUUAAAGAAUUUUAAGUAGCACAUGCUGGGAUCAGGAACUGAGGAAGGCAUCAGAGAUCUGGAUCCAUCAUCAGGACAUGCAUGGUAACUGAACCAGGUGAUGGGUAACUGAAGAGAUCCCAGUAGACACCCAACACAUGUGCAGGGAGGCAUGCAACUUCAGUCUGGGUGAGACUUUGCCUCUCUAGGGAUGGGAGAAGGAGGUCAGUGGGGCUGGUUUCUACUGUUUGUUGUAUGUUUCUUCUUAUUCUUGUAUUUUGUAUACACACGCCCUCAAAGAAUCUCCACAAAUGAACUCGCAAGGUCAGUGAAUACAGCACAGGUACAUCUUUCCAGAAAGAAUUCAUAUUUACUCUUGCUUAGAGAUCUAGCAGCCCAAGCUCAGUUAUUAAUUAAUUGAUUAUUUAUUUUGAGACAGAGUCACUGUGUAGCCCUGGAAGGACUACACUAUAUAGAUCAGGCUGGCCUCAAACUCGGACAUCUGCUUGCCUCUGCCUUCCAAGGUGUGUACCACCAUGCUUGGGCCCAAGCUUGUCUCUACCAAAUUCAUGGCCUGAGAUGAUUUGAUCACUGAUGGCCGAGUUUGAAUAGCAGUUCCUGCCAGGAGUGACUCCUAGAUUCAAUUUUUCAGGACUAUUUUUAGCCUUCCCUCUUUCCAUAUUUGUAUUUCCUCUGUUACUGGGAAGCCAUCUUUACUCUUAACAUCUUUAGUUGCAGACUGUAAGGCACUGCCUUAGCCCACAGUGCUUCUCUAUUCUACUUGUAUACUUUUUUUUCCUACCUUGCUUUUGGGUCUCAUUUCAAGGAAGAGGAAUGAUGAAGAAGAUAGAAAGGGAGGAAAGAUAGGAAAAAGGAAGGUGAGAAGGGAAGAGAAAAAUAAUAAGAGAAAUUGAAGUGGGAAGGAAAGAGUUUAAUUUUAAGACAGCACCAUGCAUUGCCCUUAGUAAUUUGCUGUUCUCGAUAAUGUCAAGGUUGUGGUAAGGGUCUUGGCUUAGUUACUAUACUUAUGUUUCUUCAGGAGAGUUCUGUGCAACUGUUUCAAGGUCACACUUAAGCUCACAGUAAAAACAAUAAAGAAUUGAGGUUUGAUGGCAGGGAGCGGUUGCUCUGCUAAACCAAUGAGGUUUAAAAUAUGGGGCCCUAGAGUCAGACAGAGCUGUGGCUUAACGCUGCUUCCUUUUUUCCCUUUGUGUUAGUCACUUGCUGUGAAUCUGAUGGCUCAUCUGCGAACAGGUUGCUGUAAGCUGUUCAGGAUAUGGCAAAAGAUGAAGGUGAUGUGCAUACAGGAGUGCAUGGAACCAACCAGGAAUCUGCAUGGGACUAAACUUGGCCUUUUUU